rnacentral:rRNA from 1 species
UACGGGGGGAGCAAGCGUUGUUCGGAUUUACUGGGCGUAAAGGGCGCGUAGGCGGUUAGUCGCGUCUGCUGUGAAAACUCGGGGCUUAACUCCGGGCCUGCAGUGGGUACGGGCUGACUAGAGUGCAGGGGAGACUGGAAUUCCUGGUGUAGCGGUGAAAUGCGCAGAUAUCAGGAGGAACACCGGUGGCGAAGGCGGGUCUCUGGGCCGUAACUGACGCUGAGGAGCGAAAGCGUGGGGAGCGAACAGG